rnacentral:tRNA from 1 species
GCGCCCUUCGUCUAGCGGUCCAGGACGUCGCCCUUCACGGCGAAAACACGGGUUCGAUUCCCGUAGGGCGCGCCA